UGAACGCUGGCGGAAUGCUUUACACAUGCAAGUCGAACGGCAGCACGGGGGCAACCCUGGUGGCGAGUGGCGCACGGGUGAGUAAUACAUCGGAACGUAUCCUAGAGUGGGGGAUAGCCCGGCGAAAGCCGGAUUAAUACCGCAUACGCUCGAAAGAGGAAAGUGGGGGAUCGUAAGACCUCACGCCCAAGGAGCGGCCGAUGCCGGAUUAGCUUGUUGGUGAGGUAAAAGCUCACCAAGGCGACGAUCCGUAGCUGGUCUGAGAGGACGACCAGCCACACUGGGACUGAGACACGGCCCAGACUCCUACGGGAGGCAGCAGUGGGGAAUUUUGGACAAUGGGGGAACCCUGAUCCAGCCAUUCCGCGUGAGUGAAGAAGGCCU
rnacentral:rRNA from 1 species